rnacentral:rRNA from 1 species
CUGAGUUUACGCUCUAUAACCCUUUGUGAACAUACCUAUAACUGUUGCUUCGGCGGGUAGGGUCUCCGCGACCCUCCCGGCCUCCCGCCUCCGGGCGGGUCGGCGCCCGCCGGAGGAUAACCAAACUCUGAUUUAACGACGUUUCUUCUGAGUGGUACAAGCAAAUAAUCAAAACUUUUAACAACGGAUCUCUUGGUUCUGGCAUCGAUGAAGAACGCAGCGAAAUGCGAUAAGUAAUGUGAAUUGCAGAAUUCAGUGAAUCAUCGAAUCUUUGAACGCACAUUGCGCCCGCCAGCAUUCUGGCGGGCAUGCCUGUUCGAGCGUCAUUUCAACCCUCAAGCUCUGCUUGGUGUUGGGGCCCUACAGCUGAUGUAGGCCCUCAAAGGUAGUGGCGGACCCUCCCGGAGCCUCCUUUGCGUAGUAACUUUACGUCUCGCACUGGGAUCCGGAGGGACUCUUGCCGUAAAACCCCCCAAUUUUCCAAAGGUUGACCUCGGAUCANGUAGGAAUACCCGCUGAACUUAAGCAUAUCAAUA